rnacentral:rRNA from 1 species
UACGGGGGGGGCAAGCGUUGUUCGGAAUUACUGGGCGUAAAGGGCUCGUAGGCGGCCAACUAAGUCCGACGUGAAAUCCCCAGGCUUAACCUGGGAACUGCGUCGGAUACUGGAUGGCUUGAAUCCGGGAGAGGGAUGCGGAAUUCCAGGUGUAGCGGUGAAAUGCGUAGAUAUCUGGAGGGACACCGGUGGCGAAGGCGGCAUCCUGGACCGGCAUUGACGCUGAGGAGCGAAAGCCAGGGGAGCAAACGGG